CUGCCAGGGACAUAUUGAACAUUCUGGGUCUUUCUUCUUGAGAUCUCUUGAUUUGGAUACCCUCCUAUCAAUGCAGAUUAGGCAUUGUUUUUCAAUUUUCCAAUUUCAUAGGGUUGCAUGGGGCACCAAAAGGUUAAAUAAUUUGUCCAGGGUCACAGGACCUUCUAAUGAAAAGCUCAUGUGAACUGAUAUAGAACAAGAUAUCAUUAUUGCAACUCCUGCCUUCUUUCUAUCAGUUGAGGCCCAGAAGGUCUUACUCCAUCCUUUAAUUCUGACCUUGUGUGUUUCUUGAAGACAACAUCCUUUCUGCUAUUCGUCUAUGUUUUAUGGGUGAGUUCAUCCCUUUCAUGUUCAAAGUUAUGAUUGUCACUUGUGGAUUCCCUGGCAUUUUGAUAUCCUCCCCUAAUUCUGACCUUUCUUCUUUAGCAAUAACCUUUUAAACCAGUGAUUUACUUUAAAUUAGUCCCCUUAGUCCCCUCCCUUGAUAUUCUUUCCUUUCUAGUCCCUCUCUUUUUGUGUUCCCUCCAUCCUUGGUUUUCCCUUCUCCCUUACCUUAUUGGAUAAGAUAGAAUUCAAGAUCUCAAUGGAUCUAGAUGCUUUUCCCUCUCAGAGUUGAUUUCACCGA
rnacentral:lncRNA from 1 species